GCUGCAUUUGUUUUUCUGUAGCAGUGUGGUGGACACACAGUGAGGCACCACCAAGGAGCUGCUGCUUGCUCUCAGGAGGCUGGUAGUGAUGUGUUCACCUUACUGAGAGGUAGAUCUCAGGCAGGAUCCUGGUGGCAGUGGCUCAUAGCUGAUGGUGACUGAGGAAUAAUUGACAUUCUGUGAUGCAGAAGAGCAAGGAGGAAAGAGUGAAGUGCAAAUCUGAGAAAUGGGAGGGCAGCAUACCCAGAAGGGCAGAGGCACCCUGAUUUGAAAAUGUCAGUUUGCAGUACACUGGGCAAACUCAUAUGCUGCAAAGGUGAAGAUGUAUUAAGGUAGAUUGUGGGCCAAACAGAGUUUGGUGAUUAAGUGUUGCCACACGAGGAAGCCAGAAUGCAGAAGAUAGCAGUCCCAGCAAACACACCUUCUGCCUAAAAGCAGUAAAAUGUCUGUCACUGAGACCUGGGAGGAAAAAAAACAAUUAUAUGAGUGGAAACCUUGCAUUCCUGAGGCUGUUUCUUGUCUCUUCUGUAUUUUCUCCUGUGUGAUCUUAUGGCUGUAAAAUUCAGAGACGCUUAUUUUCUGUCUAAAAAUGAUUUCAGCAUUGACUGUGCUCAGAAUUUGACUUAAAACUAGGAAAUUCAAACCACUGUUUUUCUCUGUAGUAUGGUCCUAAACAGACUGCAGAGAAACUCAGAUUUAUGAAAAGGACUUUCUGUAUUUUUUCCUGAAAUGAAAUAAAGCUCUUGAUCUCCUG